rnacentral:rRNA from 1 species
AGAGACAGCAGCCGCCGCGGGAAUACAGAGGGUGCGAGCGUUAAUCGGAUUUACUGGGCGUAAAGCGUGCGUAGGCGGCUAAUUGAGUCGGAUGUGAAAUCCCCGAGCUUAACUUGGGAAUUGCAUUCGAUACUGGUUAGCUAGAGUGUGGGAGAGGAUGGUAGAAUUCCAGGUGUAGCGGUGAAAUGCGUAGAGAUCUGGAGGAAUACCGAUGGCGAAGGCAGCCAUCUGGCCUAACACUGACGCUGAGGUACGAAAGCAUGGGGAGCAAACAGGAUUAGAUACCCCCGUAGUCCCUGUCUCUUAUAC